GAAACCGUUUAGGGGUAAACCUGAGAAACCCGAAAGGUCGAAGGGAGAAAUUCAUUCGUGUCCGAUAUGGUUAUUGUACGGUAUAUUGGUGUUCGAAAGGUGAAAAGAAAUUUUCACUUUUUGCCCUGCCGUAUCAAUAUGUGUACCAUGUUGGACGCGUGCACUUUUCUUCCGGUAGGACGUUGCGAUCCGUUGGGUGUUGAUCUACGGUAUGUGGUAGGGCAGACCUUGAAGCGGUUAAUUUGAAAAAAUUGAUUCUUUAAGGACCUCUGAUACCUGAUCAACUGGCCCGACGGUAUAAUUAGAACGGUUUUCGGUCGCUCGAUCAAUUAUUGGUUGAAGCGUUCGGCUUGUAGCAAGCACGUUAAAUGUUUUAGAUAACGGACCUAGUGCCGUGUCUGAUCAUUGACGUCUGUUGGUUGCAAAUGUCUCGAACAGGCUGACCUGCAAAAAACUGAUCUGCAACGAUAUAGCUUUGGGUAAUUUCAGGACCCGUCUUGAAACACGGACCAAGGAGUCUAGCAUGUACGCAAGUCAUUGGGAAUUACAAAACCUAAAGGCACAAUGAAAGUAAACGUUUAUCUUUAACGGUAAACGAUGGGAAGAUGAGCGUUAAUAAUGUUAAAGUUAUUGCGUUCCGCAUUCCCGGGGCGUCUCGUUCUCAUUGCGAGAAGAGGUGCACCAUGAGCGUACACGCUGGGACCCGAAAGAUGGUGAACUAUGCCUGGUC
rnacentral:rRNA from 1 species